GACGAACGCUGGCGGCGUGCCUAAUACAUGCAAGUAGAACGCUGAAGGAGGAGCUUGCUCUUCUGGAUGAGUUGCGAACGGGUGAGUAACGCGUAGGUAACCUGCCUGGUAGCGGGGGAUAACUAUUGGAAACGAUAGCUAAUACCGCAUAACAUUGACUAUUGCAUGAUAGUCAAUUGAAAGGUGCAAAUGCACCACUACCAGAUGGACCUGCGUUGUAUUAGCUAGUUGGUGGGGUAACGGCUCACCAAGGCUACGAUACAUAGCCGACCUGAGAGGGUGAUCGGCCACACUGGGACUGAGACACGGCCCAGACUCCUACGGGAGGCAGCAGUAGGGAAUCUUCGGCAAUGGACGGAAGUCUGACCGAGCAACGCCGCGUGAGUGAAGAAGGUUUUCGGAUCGUAAAGCUCUGUUGUAAGAGAAGAACGAGUGGAGAGUGGAAAGUUCACACUGUGACGG
rnacentral:rRNA from 1 species